rnacentral:lncRNA from 1 species
CAGAGGGUCACCUUCCGCUCCCCGGCCCAGAGGCCCAGCGGGUGGACAAACGGCCCAGGCGUCCGCCCCGCCGCGAUCCAGCAGCCCACCUCGAGCGCCGCGGACCUGGCCGGGGAACUCAACUGUUAGGCAGAAGGGAGGAAUGUACUGUUGAUAUGGACAGACUCCAAGAAGGGGAGGGACUGCUGGGACUACUAGAACGAGAAUGCCUCUGCCCCUAUGGCUCAGCUCUGCAACUCUCUCUGCACAUUGGCUUCAUGCUGUUAGACCAGCUUCCUCCAUAUGUCUGGAAACAAGGCCACUGACAGCUCCCAACAUUUCAUCUUCUGCCUCAUCAUCAGACAGGCGAGUGCAGUGGCAUAAUCUCGGCUCACUGCAACCUUUGCCUCCUGGGUUCAAGCAAAAACUGGAAUGAUGCAGCUUCAGGCCAAGGAAUGCUGGCAGCCACCAGAAGCUGAAGGACACAAGGAAUGGAUUCUCAGAGCCUCGGCAGGAAAUGUGGCCCUGCCAACACCUUGAUUUCAGACUUCUCAACUCCAGUACUGGGAGGGAAUAAAUUUCUGUUGUUUUAAGCCUCCCAGUUUGUGAUAAUUUGCUACAGCAGCCACAGGAAGCAAAUAAGGAGGGCCUAUUUGGAGGAGGAUGCAAACCCAGCAGUGGGUGAUGAACUAUUCUUACUUACAGCUACCUUAUUCAUUACUAGUCUAGACUUAAGCAUUGACUUCAUCACUGAAAAGGCUGCAGCUGAGCCUAGAGUUUCAGGUUCCUGUGCUGCAUAUGGCUACAGUGAUUCUUAGGUCAGCUCCCUAGGAUGCAGUUGAGUCUCUCUCUAACUGAUGAGUCUCUUUAAAUAUACAGUUGGGGCUGGGUGCGGUGGCUCACACCUCUAAUCCUAGCACUUUUGGAGGUU